ensembl:lncRNA
GAAGACGACAUCCAUCACUGGAACUGCUCGGAUCAGCAGAGGAUCUGGAUGAAAACAGAGCUGCAGUCCAUGGGUCUGUGGCCGGGUUCUCCUCCUGUCAGGAACCCCAUGAAGAUGCUGUCAUUGUGGCGUCAGCCCCCACAACCAGAGCUGAUUGACAGCAUCCACGAUCUGCCAUCCCCUACAUACUUCCAGCUCCACCCAUUCUUCAUCUGGAUGCCAGAAAAUGACGAGAUCAUGGGCAGGCUGAGGAACAAUUACCGCUUUCCUUGUGUCAGCACUUGUGUUGCGCCUCAAGUUGUGCCAGCAGGUAUGGGACGACCACGGGUGAUAGUUGGAACCACUGGCCAGUACUAUCUGCUGUCCUCUAGACUGAGCUGCAAAGUCUGCCGUAAGAGGUGGUUCGCAGACAACCCACAGUGGCUGGAGAAACUCCCAAAGAGGUUUAUCAACCUGCUGCCAGCCACGCUGACUUCUAAAAAAGCGAUCUGUAAGUCUGUCAUGGAUGAACUCCGCAGGACGGGCAACUCUCCUUCAGAUAUGGCAAACCAAAUAAACGAAACAAUGCACCUGAAAUACGAGCGUGCCAACCUGGCCUAUCUCCUCGCCUGUCAAAACGUCAUGGACGGUGAGGUGGGGGCGUACGGGCAAAGGCCAAUAUCUGGCUUUGUUAGGCAGGAAACAAAGCCAGCUCCUUUUGGAGAGUACGGGGAUGGAGAUGGGUGGAACGGCAUUUGUGUUUCUUCCCACCACCUCACCGACUGUCUGCUGCAGGAGUUUAAACUCCAGGAAGCGCCCAUCAAAAAAAUGAUGCAGGGGACUUUUGGGCAGGCUUUCCGCUCCGACCACACCCGCAAAGUUGCCAGGAAGGUGACAUUGUCAUCCGGGACCAUGUCUUCAUACGUCGUGAUGAAUGAAACCUGGAUGAUCGUGUCGUGGGUGAUGCUGCAGUCUGAGAGCGACAUGUCGCUGCAGCCCAUGUACGAGGGACUGGCAACACGCUACAACAACGUGGGUGUGGAGAAGGCAAGGGUCCAGUGGGUGGACAGGGACUGCUGUGCAGCCUUUGUUGUGGCAGAAACACAUGCCGAGGAACAUUUAAGCUGGGAGUCCUGGAAAACGACAGACGCCAUCGUUGCUGAGGCAACGACAGGACACCUGGUCAACUCCUGCGCGUCCAGGUCCCACUACAACUCCAACAUCACCAUAAAGCUGGACUUGUCUCAUUGCAUGAGGCGCUUCCUCCGUGAGUGUGUGUCAGAGCACCACCCCCUGUACGGCUCCUUUGCUCAGUUCCUCUCUGCUGCCUUCUCUGUGGUGGAUCAGGAGGACCUGCAGGCGCUCAAGGACGCCUACAGGUUCUGUCAAAUCCAUCCCCCGAACCCAACGAAGCAGCACAUCCGUCAACACUGCAGGAUCAGGAUCCCUCAUCCCCAAGAGCUCAUUAAGAGGGUGGAGGGGGUUUUCCAGCACUUCCACCUGGCGAGUGACCCAAACGGUGUCCCCCUCUUUAAGCCCUCCAUGCUUAAGGUUUGGCGGAUUCAGCGGGUCCACAUCCUGCGAGGCUGCCUGAGCGAUCCUGAGGUGGAAGGAGGGAUCUUGUAUCGUCACGGCGGAACUCUGCAGCUGAACCACGUGCCAGGGGAAGGAGCUGCAGUUCCUGUGUGGAUUCCAAUCAGAGGAACAUCCCAGCAGGAAGGCUACCACUUCCACCAGGCUCAGUGGGUUACGGGGACACGAGUGUCUCCUGAACUGUUUCAGGCACAGGGCCUGACCGGUGUGGCUCGGUGGAACUUCCAGCGUCUGGUGGACCUGAAGCUGCCUGGUGUUCGCCUCCCUGCUGUCUUCAAUCCAGCUCUGAUUGCGGACCUCAAUUCAGCAUCUGAACGGGUCAUGGGUGAGAGGAAGUACCCUGCUCUUCAUCUUUCUGGUGCAGACACUGGAGAGAUGUUUGGGCUAGAGUAUGUAGAACCAGAAACCCGUCCAGUGCCGCUCAACUGGGACGAGCACAAAUCCAGGUCCGAGCCUGCUCCCACUGAGACUCCACAUCCUCCGUCCAGCCCACUCACUCCAAGCUCGGAGCUUCCUCCUCCCACGCCGGAGACUCCAGCCCGGAUCUUUCAGUUCUCCUCUCAGCUGUCUGAGCCUCCAGCUGAAGAUCAAACUGUGCAACCACAAACCAAAACAGAAGAUGCAGCUCCAUCACCAUUGCCCCUUCUAUCUUCACCAUCUUCAGCAUGUACUGGACCCAUAAAGACUGGAGGCAGAGUCUUUGUGUUGGACCAUCCGCGCUGGCCUGCCCCCAUGAAGGAGGUCAUUGAUGGCCUCCUAACAAAGCACCGGGGACAGAAGGACAUGCUGAAGCUAGUGGACCAGGACUAUGCUGCUCUGGUUCAAAGCUCCUGCCCAGACCCAAACAGCAUGCUCCACCCCACAACAGAACAACACAUAUCCCGGUACAUCAAACUCCUGAACACGACCACAUCCCUGAACACCGGCCCAGAAAAGCUCCAGGACCGACAAAGGCUGUGGCAGUCUCUCACAUCAGGAAGUGACACCACCAGUGUCCCAGUUGUGCAGAUGUCUGGUCAUAUCACUACUCCUCCUGCUCAGGCUCCCAACACAACUCUGACCCGUGAAGCUGUGGAAAAAAUAGUCCAAAACAUCCUAGAGAAGCAGCAGCACCAACAACUCGAUGCGCAAAAACAGCCCAAAACUAAAAAGUGUCUGUCCUGUGGCCAGCCCAAGUCCAGAUAUGAGAACGAUGGUUCCUCCAUUCACUUUUUCUAUCAGCAAGGACCUGUCAGGUACUUUUACUGCUCUACAAAAGUCUUUCAAACAUACAACGCAGAGGGCCUGACAAACCCCAAAAUGGUGUUUGAAGAUUUUUCAAAGACUGAAUUUUUCCAGCGGGAACUUGAGGGAACACAGAAGAGGGUGGAGGAGAAAAAACAACGGAAAAGGAAACGAACAGAAGCCGCUGCACCUGCUGGGCGCAAGUGCUCAUUCUGCAAGCUGCCUCUGAAACAAGGACCAGACAGCCCCCAUAUCCACACCAACUUCCCAGGCGUGGUAGGGAAGUACAUCUACUGCCCUGGGAAAGUUUUCUCCCUCUAUAGAGAGAUGGGAAUGGAGAGGAAGAUGUCCUGGAGAAGCUUUCAGAAAUCUCCAUUUUAUAAAAUGGAGUGGCAGCGAUGGGGGGUAGACAGGAAAAAAAAGUGAGCAAAAUGGGCUUAUCAUCUCAUUUGUAACUGUAUUGAGCAGUAAAUGUAAUUUUGUUUAUUAAGAAAAUAACAUUUUACAUCAAGUUGUCAUUUUUUAACAGAUAAUUAAAUAAUAGGUGGUUUCAUUCAUAAAGUACUGCCAAUAAAACUCAUAAUGUAAAAGAACAAAAAUGAAGUUUUCAAAUACAAGACAGAGAGAAACAAAUGUAGA